GCUGGGCACGGUGGCAUGUGCCUGUGGUCCCAGCUACUUGAGAGGCUGAGGCUGGAGGAUCUCUUGAGCCCAGGAGUUCUGGGCUGCUGUGCACUAUGCCGAUUGGGUGUCUGCACUAAGUUCAGCACCAAUAUGGUGACCUCCUGGGAGCCAGGGACCACCAGGUUGCCUAAGGAGGGGUGAACCAGCUGAGGUCGGACACGGAGCAGGUCAAAACUCCCAUGCUGAUCAGUAGUGGGAUCGCGCCUGUGAAUAGCCACUGCACUCCAGCCUGGGCAACAUAACGAGACCCCGACUCUA
ensembl:misc_RNA Metazoa_SRP Metazoan signal recognition particle RNA